rnacentral:lncRNA from 1 species
GCUUCCUCCUCAAGACUAGCUCUCAUAAGUGUUGACCUUGAGGCUAGAAGGCAAGUCUAUAAUAUGGGCCAUACCUUCUGUUGGAUGGACAAGGGAAAAAGGAAGGAACAUGCAGACCAGCUGAGACAGACAGCCUUGUAAGACUGAGCAACUCUAGAUUCCUGAACUUUCCAUUGACAACUAGACAUUGUUGGACCACAGUAUAUAAGCCCUCAUCCAGUGGCUGAUGGAAGCAGAGGCAGACAUCCACAGAUACACACUGAACUGAAAUCUGAAACCUAGUUGCAGAGAGGGAGGAAUGAAGAUCGACGGGGUUGGUACCAGGUUGGAGAAACCCACAGAAACAGCUGGCCUGAACAAGGGGGAGCACAUCGACCCCAGAUAUUGUCUGGGAGGCCAGUACAGGACUGAUCCAGACCCCUGAACAUGGGUGUCAAUGAGGAAGCCUCUGCACUCUAGGAGGCCGCUGGUAGUGGAUUAGUAUUUUUCCCUGGUGUAAGAAGGGACUUUGAGA